rnacentral:lncRNA from 1 species
UUUAUUCCAAAAAAAGUCGAGCUCUCUCUCCCUUCAAGAAACCGCUAUCUCUCUUUUUCUUCUCUCAAAAUUGUCGGCCAUGCUCUGUUUCACUUCCUCUUGCUCAAAAUCCCAUCUCUCUCUCUCUCAAAGGAAACACAUAUCUCUCCUCACUCACGCCUCUCUCCAUCUUCAGCCGAGUUCUCCCUCAAAAUUAGUCGAGCUCAGCCC